rnacentral:rRNA from 1 species
GUCUAAGUACUAGCCAACUUUUAAAAUGGUGAAACCGCGAAAAGCUCAUUAAAUCGGCUUUGGUUCCUUAGAUAGUUUGCAGACUGGAGUUUCUUUCGAACUAUCGAAAGAAACAAAAUUCUGAAAUGGAUAACUGUGGUAAUUCUAGAGCUAAUACAUGAAAAAAUUUCGGUGCGAAAACGCGUUUGCUUCGAGCGAACGUUGAAUUUGCACGCUUUUAUUAGAGAAAAAAGCCAAUUUUAUUAUUGUUUGCGUGUGCACUCUUGCGAAACGGUUGCGUCUGUGAUCUGUUUCUGCUGGAGCGGCUACGUAAAAUCAAUACUAAUGAAAAAAUUAGGUGUUGAAUCUGAAUAACUUGAAUGGAUUCUCUUUGAAAGAGUUUUAUUUCGUUUCGGAAUAGAAUUUGAUUAGAAGAGGGUUUAAAGCAGACCGCAUUAAAGGCUGCAAGCAAAGUAAUGAGAGCGUUUACGUUCGAUUUAAUGCUUGCAGUUUGUGUGG